UACGUAGGCAGCGAGCGUUGUUCGGAAUUACUGGGCGUAAAGAGUGUGUAGGCGGUGCUCUAAGUUUGGUGUGAAAUCUCCCGGCUCAACCGGGAGGGUGCGCCGAAAACUGGGAGGCUAGAGUGCGGGAUGGGAGAGUGGAAUUCCUGGUGUAGCGGUGAAAUGCGUAGAUAUCAGGAGGAACACCGGUGGUGCAGACGGCUCUCUGGACCGUAACUGACGCUGAGACACGAAAGCGUGGGUAGCAAACAGG
rnacentral:rRNA from 1 species